rnacentral:rRNA from 1 species
GACGAACGCUGGCGACGUGCUUAACACAUGCAAGUCGAACGGAAAGGCCCUGCUUUUGUGGGGUGCUCGAGUGGCGAACGGGUGAGUAACACGUGAGUAACCUGCCCUUGACUUUGGGAUAACUUCAGGAAACUGGGGCUAAUACCGGAUAGGAGCUCCUGCUGCAUGGUGGGGGUUGGAAAGUUUCGGCGGUUGGGGAUGGACUCGCGGCUUAUCAGCUUGUUGGUGGGGUAGUGGCUUACCAAGGCUUUGACGGGUAGCCGGCCUCAGAGGGUGACCGGCCACAUUGGGACUGAGAUACGGCCCAGACUCCUACGGGAGGCAGCAGUGGGGAAUAUUGCACAUUGGGCGGAAGCCUGAUGCAGCAACGCCGCGUGCGGGAUGACGGCCUUCGGGUUGUAAACCGCUUUCGCCUGUGACGAAGCGUGAGUGACGGUAAUGGGUAAAGAAGCACCGGCUAACUACGUG